ACGGGACGUGACCUAGAGCUACCGCCAUGCCCUAGCCUACCGCCUCCGCUUCAACCCCAUCAGCCCCUCAUUUUUAGUUUGUAAUCUGAUACGAAUGUUGAUGAGCACAUAGCCUUGGAGCUGAGAACAGGAGGAAUCCGGGAAGACAGAUGGAGAUGGAGUGGGGAAGAAGACAGGGUGAGGUAGGAGGAAGAGGAGGUUGUGCGGCGCCCCGUGUUUGCCUUCUUCGUCAAACAUCCACAGAUGAAGGCCACGAUUUCAUCAACUAGUAAAAGGCUCAAGGGCUUGCCAUGUUGCAAGCCAAUGUGUUUCCUUCUCUUCACUAGAUCAGGUCCAAAGGGGGAAGCCAAAUGGCAGAGAUCUUGGUACCUAUGAAUUAUCAGCAAUGCUACUAUGAAUAUAGUGGCAACCAGUAUGUACUAUAGAACAUAUCAUGAGCUUUUUACCCUUUUUAAUUUAUUUCUAUUAUAAUAAAGUGUGGAACAAUGUCGCAGCACAAAGAAGCCUAAGCUGUAGCAUGUACUCAUCAUGAACGAAGUUAAGAGUAUGUCUGCUGGUGAUAGAGGAGAAAGAAUGUUGGAAGUGAAUGAAGCCUCCACCAAUCAGCAGGGAGCCUUUGACUCAAGGAUCAUGAAACUGAUACGAAGAUGGCCUGACUGCUGAAGAAUAUGAAGCAAGAUUUAAUUGCUCAGUGGAGGCAACAAUACAGAAAUCGCAAGCUUUGGUGUUGUUUAUGGGGACAUCAGAACAUUGCUUCUUUAUGUAUACAGAAGUCAGACAGCAUUCUAUGUACUUCCCUGAUAUUUUAGACCUUCUCAGGAAGGUAAACUUCUUUUUAUGCAGUAUGGUAAAUUUUAAAAAUACCAGUCUUCCACUUUUUGAGAAUUUUAUUACUUCUGCCACGUGGUUGCUUUAUUGUUUUGGUGAUCCUGUUAUGCUCACGUGGCCCUUCAGCAUGUACCUCAUACAUGACCCUCCAUCCAGGUGAGACCCCCGAUAUAUUCUUGGAUCUUUAAGAGAUGGUGCAGAGAGCAAUAUUGAUUUUCUGUUUCAUUGUUCUAUUAAUAGAAGAAAACAAGCUUUUUUGUUCAGGUUUCAUAUCUCUUGAGUUCAGUGGAAUUCAUAGAAGAAAGGAAACUUUCUGUUCUAUGGUGUCCCACUGUUCCAGGUUUUAGGGAUGAUCACUAGACUUGGAAGUGUGAAUUUAUUGUUCUCGCAUGUGGGUGUGCUACAAAUUCUUCAACCAACAAUUUAGUGUACAUGUGUUUUGCUUGUAGCUUGCUCAAGGCGCUGCUGGCAUGACAGGUCCUAUGCUCAGAUCAAACAUUCCAUUACCCAUGUGUAUGAAUCUAUAUUAUUUUAUCUUUAUCUUCUGCUGUGGCUAUUAUGAGAAAAAAAUGCAACACAUUGUUUGUAACAUUGAAGAAAGCUUUUAACAGUUCUAAUCAACGACACAUGAUUUAUUUCUUAGCAAGCAGUUUGUGACUUUUUUUCUAAAAUGUAAUAGGUAGUAACUUUUGAGGUUCAUGUGCUUAUAGUGUUACUUAAUUAGUGAGUUAGUGCUAGAUCAGUGUCCCAACACAGUGAUGAUAUGCCUCAUAUAAGAGCAAUAUUCUUCUCUGAGGAAAGCUGAACCGCAAGACUCAAAACCAAACUUGAGUCUGAAUGAAAAGUUCAUUCUGCACGGUUUAAGUUCGUUUUGAAGUUUAACUUAUCUAUUGACUUGUCCUCUGUACAUGUUUCAAGCAAUAGCUUUGAUCUUAAAUGGAGACUAUUAAUUGGAGUGUUCCAUCUUAUUGUAUUGUAUGUUGAUAUAUGGAGAGAGCAUUUGGUAGAUUAUUUUUGGGCAAUACUGCUCAAUCAUGUCUAUAGAAAUUGAGAAUCAUUUUUGGGCUACCAGAUUUUUUCUAAAGGCACAUGAUGUGCUAGAACCUUACAUUUAUAAGGAAACUU